GCAUCCAUAGCUCAGUGGUAGAGCGCUUCCUUGACGUGGAAGAGGUCAGUGGUCCGAUCCCACUUGGAUGCA
rnacentral:tRNA from 1 species